rnacentral:rRNA from 1 species
UACGGAGGAUGCGAGCGUUAUCCGGAUUUAUUGGGUUUAAAGGGUGCGUAGGCGGAUUUGUAAGUCAGCGGUAAAAAUGCGGUGCUCAACGCCGUAUCGCCGUUGAAACUGCAGGUCUUGAGUGAGCGAGAAGUAUGCGGAAUGCGUGGUGUAGCGGUGAAAUGCGUAGAGAUCAUACAGAACACCGAUUGCGAAGGCAGCUUACCAAACUAUAUCUGACGUUGAGGCACGAAAGCGUGGGGAGCAAACAGG